GAUGAACGCUGGCGGCGUGCCUAAUACAUGCAAGUCGAGCGAACGGACGAGAAGCUUGCUUCUCUGAUGUUAGCGGCGGACGGGUGAGUAACACGUGUAUAACCUACCUAUAAUACUGGGAUAACUUCGGGAAACCGGAGCUAAUACCGUAUGAUAUUUUGAACCGCAUGGUUCAAAGGUGAAAGACGGCCUUGCUGUCACGUAUAGAUGGAUCCGCGCUGCAUUAGCUAGUUGGUAAGGUAACGGCUUACCAAGGCAACGAUGCAUAGCCGACCUGAGAGGGUGAUCGGCCACACUGGAACUGAGCCACGGUCCAGACUCCUGCGGGAGGCCGCAGUAGGGAAUCUUCCGCAGAGGGCGAAAGCCUGACGGAGCAGCGCCGCGUGAGUGAUGAAGGUCUUCGGAUCGUAAAACUCUGUUAUUAGGGAAGAACAUAUGUGUAAGUAACUGUGCACAUCUUGACGGUACCUAAUCAGAAAGCCACGGCUAACUACGUG
rnacentral:rRNA from 1 species